AGAGGCAGCAGUGUCAGGAGCCCUCCCUGACAGCUCCUUUCAGGAGGGGAUGCUGUGAGGAGCUGUCAGGCUCUGAGUCAGCUGUUCUUCCAGGGCUGGCAUUCCAGGCAGGAAGAGCCUGCUGGAAGAACCAUCCCAACCACGAAGAACCAUCCCAACCACGCCGCCUGCCAAAACCACACUGGGAAUCCCAUGGGAACCAGCCGCCUCCCGAGCCAGCUGGUACUUCCUGCUCCCGAGGCCUGAUCCUGCUCUGGAUGCUGAGCAUUCUUCGUUCCAUUUUUAAAUUAAUGAGGCUUGAGCAAUGCAUGGUCCCAGACCCCGGGGGAAGAAACAGCCCCUCGGUGUUUUCAGCACUUUGGCCGUGUGGCCCAGCUGGAGAGGAGAGGGAAAUGUCAGGUUUGAAGGGAGAUCCGAGAGAUGCCUGAAAACAGAUCCGUAACCUGGAGAUUUUAGCCAGGUUCUCCGAGCUGGCCAUGCUCCCACACACAGCUCUCCUCCCCAGCACGGGCUGUGACUCCCAAAACUGGCAGCCCCAUCUCUGCAGAGAAGGAUGAGGAUCACCAGCGUGGGACUGGCUCCCAUCCUAUCCCAACAGUGUCCCCUUGAGGUUGGUGGCUGAGGCAGCCUGGGAAGAGCUCUCACGGAGGUGCAGGGGAACCCCAGAAGCUGCUCUUGUUUUCCAACCAACAAAUCCCAGCAGCUGCGGAUCAGCCUGAGUGAAGGAUGCUGGAGGAGCCCACCCCACAGGGGGUGUGGGACCUCCACACCUGGGAGUGGAGCACUUGGAGACCACUCAGGAAUACCUUGGAUGUCUAAGCUGCUGCAGCGAGCUAAUUCCUCCAGGUGACUCCAGGCAGCGAUCAGUGGGCUCCUGCACAGCGAGGGGGUUUGAAGUGCCAGAGCUGAAAGCGCUCCCAACUCCGGCACGCCAGGCCUCCAGCAGGGGACACAGCCUCAGAUGUCACAGCACGGUGGCAGGAGGGGCUGGGGCCUCUGGAGCUGUCAUUUCCAACCUGCAUUUCCAACUGGGGGAGCCAAGGCAAAGGGAGGGGGACCAGGCACGGGCCUGAGAUGCCCUGUGCCCCCAGGGAAGUGGGCUCUGGUUGAAGGAUAUUGGGGGAAAAGAUAUUUGGGAGGCAUUGGGGAAUAAAAAUCAGCGCCCUGAAGGGAUAAAUGUUGAGAAUUGUCAGUGCUGGCCUCUGGGAUAGGUGUGUACCUGGCUGCACUGCGUGUCCCAGCCCUGGCAGAGCAGCAGAUUUGCAUCUGAACUCCUUCCUCUGGUGUGGAAGAUGAACACGAGGCGUAUUCAAAGGCAAGGAGGUGCCCAAGAGAAGCCCAAAACCAAUGAGAGAAGGAUUUACAGUAGGAUGGCUCUUAUCAUAUGUACACAAUAUUAAAUAUAGCAUUCUUUCCUCUGACAAA